ensembl:lncRNA
AUUCCUCUACAGGACAAAAUCUGCACCCAUUAAGGUACCAAAUUAUGCACAUUUUUAGGGAAUAUUUGAAUCCCAAAGUACACAUUCACUUUAAAGGCACUAUUGUAGUACAGUGAUUAUCUGGGGAGUGUAAUGAGUAAUAAGGAUAUCAUUUUAGGUCCACAAAUGUAACCUUAGCCUAUAUUUUUUAGCUCAAAAUAAUUAACAUGCACUCAUCAGAAGACCCCAAACCGGUGUCACCACAAGAUCAAGGGUUUUCUCCGUUUGAAGCACACAGAGGUGCUGACUGGCAGUGUAUAUCUAGUGUAUACUACAACGUGAAGGGCACUGUAGGAAAUCACUGAAGCACCUGGCUGUCAGACUGCGCUGCAGACGCAGAACCCGUGCCGCUGCUGCAGCUGCGCGCGCGCUAUAGAGGAGCGUCUAUUUAUGCGGGAGGCCGCGAGCGCUUCGCGAUCCCGCACAAAAUACGCGGAUCAAACGCGCCCGUCGAGCCCCAUCGAGCUCCCGCCGCGAUAUUAUCCCAACGCGGGGAAAACCACGCGACGAUUCGCCCCUGAUGACCACGAUGAGCGACUGGCUCGGCACAAAGGAGAAGGCUGGUCCCGCACAUCCCCGCACACCGAGGGGCAAAAACAAGCACUUUCGCGGGACAUUUAGCGACUUUUCGCUCGAGGGUAUUUACCUGGCGAGCGGCCCUCGAUGUGCAGUCCCGGUUCGCUUUUCCUGGAUGAUACCGUGUAGUCGGAGUCGGGCCGUCCGCUCGUUCUCGUCUCGUCGCUAUUUAACUGAAGGGUUUACAAGCUCAAGUGAAAGCUGAAAAAAGUGUCCUGAGAGGAAAACAAAUAGUGAUGAGACUGAAUGGUGACCAUAUGCAUUUCAAGAAAACAGAAGAGCGACAUUCUGUAAAUAUCUCCUUUUGUGUUCAGUGGAAGAACGUGUGGGUUUGGAUCCCAGAAAAGACGGUGAGUUGUAUUUUCAUUUUGAAUGCUCUGUUCCUUUCGCUAAGUGACAGUAAGUGAAACUCAAAGGCCUGUUUACUUCCAUCAUUGACUCACUGACACCUGCCAAGCUGUGAGAUGUGUUUCAGCACUGGCUUUAUCAGACAGGCCUUGCUGAGGAAGGAUUCAUACUGAGAACAGGACAGACUGAACUCUGGCAGUGUGAAUUAGCAGUGGCUUUUAUGGAUGAAGUGCGUUAGCUGUGCAGAUGCGCGGGUUACCUACACACAAAUGUAUCUGUGCUUCUGUAAAUUUUAUUAGAGAAUGUAUGGAAAUAACAAACAAAGCAGGCUGCAAUUAAUGGAUAUCAUCUUUUAUUUUUCUCAAACAAAGCCUUGAGAAGCUUGUUAUUUAUUUUAACAGGCAACCCCGGCUAUGAACCUCUGCCAAUAUAAGAACGCCCAUGUUUCUAUUAAAAAUACCGGAGAGCGAAUUUCAUGGGGCUUAUGUGUUCAGUCAUGUACAAAGGGACCUGUAUUAAGGAAGUCUCCUGAGGCGUUCUGUGGGUAAUAUGCUCAUUUGAGAUUGUUCCAGACCCUACGGACAAUGCAAAAUGCCUGCUUUUCACAAUACAGUGGCUUUACGGUGCAAAAACAUAAAUGUUUACUUUGUGUAAUGACUGAACGAAGCCAUAAAGAGUGUGUAAAUGAUUAUAACAAUAAUCUUGCAUGGUUUUGUGAGGUAUGCAGUGUUUACAUGCUCUGCUGGAGUCAGUGUGUCUGGAAACACAGGUAAUGCUUAAUGAGAAAUCAGCAUGGAAAUAAGUAUGCAAUAAAGCACUCGAGGCUGUGCAUUACAGUGAUUUUACUAGAGGUCUGAGUUAAAUUUUGGAUUUUUUAAAACAAUGGCAACAGUGGUAUUAUAAAAGACACCAAUGUGCAAUGAAUAGUGCAAUUAAUUUUGAGUAAAGAAAUUAUUUUAAAUAUGUCAAAAAUAAAUGCUUUUGUGGUGCACUCCUAAAUAACAUAGCAUUACUGUGUUCAAUCAACAUGUUAUUGUCAUGGUACACGUCUGUAUUAUUAUAUACUAUUAUAGGGUUUCUUAUUACUUUUAAUUAGCUUAUAUAUAUAUAUAUAUAUUAAAUUAAAUUUAGAUUAAGUUUUAGUAAUUUAUUACUUUCUUAUUUGAUCUAAUUAUUCAAUAAUUCAACUUAAACAUAUUUUAGUUAGUUGCCAAGACAUUUUCUUUUUUAUUUUAAGAUUUCAAUUUAACAUUUUAAAAAUUUCAGCUUUAUUUCAAUUACUGAAAAUGAUUUUUAAUAAUAAUAAUAAAAAAAAACAUGGCCUUAAUAUAUCAAAAGAUAAAUUAUUUACACUUCGAUAAAAAACAUGGUAUUACCACAUGCAAUCUUUAUGGUAUUACCAUGGUACAUGGUUUGUGUUUUUAUAUCUUAUAAUUGUAUUUCUUAAUAUUUUGAAUGAACUUUUAUUUUUAUAUUUAUUAUAAAAAAAAAUUGUAUUUUUUUUAUGUUUUUCUUCUAGCAAUUAUAUUUUAUUUUAAUUCAGCUUUAUUUUUUAAUUACUGAAAAAAAAAAUUUUUAAAGAAAAAAAGUGGUGUAAAUAUGCCCAAAAUUAAAUGCUAUUAUCAUGGUACACACUUCUGUCUGACCGUCAUGGUAUGUUAUUAUGCAAUUAUAAUAUUUAUUAAUAUUAUAAUUAAAUUUUACAUUUAGAUUAAGUUUAAGUUUAAGUAAUUUAUUGUUUUUUAUUUUUAGAUUUCUGUAAUUUAUUUUCUUUUCAGUUUUAGUAGUUAGUAGUAAACUUUAGCAGUAAACUUAAUUUAUGUAGCUGCCAAGAACAGAUCAAAUUUCUGUUUGCAUUUUGCAAAUGUAGGUUUUCCAUUUGACAUUUACAUUUUAUUGUAUUUCAGCCUUUUUUCAAUUAAUGAAAAUAUUUUUUAUUUUAGUUUCAGUUAACAGUAACAGCACUGUCACGUCCAUAAACCCAUGAUAAUAAAAUAAAAAAUAAUAAAAAAUACACAAAAAGAUUAUGGGUGAUACACACAACAUCAGAUGAGUAUGACAGGAAUUAAUUACUUAUAGUAGUCCCUAGGGAUUCAAAUUGAAAUGUGAUCACAAGGUGGCGCUCUUACACUGUCAGUGUCUGAUUCCUCUUGCAUCUGCCCUCAUAUUGCAGGUUUAGCAGCGUGAUUGAGUCAUUAGGCUCUCAGAAGGUCUGUCCUGUGUCUGCGCUGUGGUGACAGCACUGUUCGCUGAGGUGAGGACGGCAGGCCAGAGUUCAGCAACACACACCAUCUAAAGAAAUCACUUACUUUUAAAUUCAUGCAUGCAGGAUGCUUAAUUAAAAUCACGGGAAAAGCUAUUUAUUCAAAUCCAAUUCAUCACUCACAUGUAGAUGCAAAUUUUAUUAGUUUUUUUUUUUUUGUGGCAAAACAAAUGAACUAGUUGAACUAGUUGAACUAGUUAUAAAACAGAUUCUACAUUUAGUUUACUUUAAACAAUUAACUCAACUUUAAUGUCUCAUUUUCUGAUAACUUAAUAUAAAUAUUGAUGUAAAAAAUUGAAAUGUAUUGAUUUUAUAUAUUAAUACAUAAAAAAGCAGUUCUGUUAUCUGAAUGUUCCCAUUUAAAUUAUUCAAAUAAGAGCCAAACAUCUAUAAUAAUAAUAAUAAUUUAUGCAUUAAAAAUAAAUAAAAUAUAUUAUAAAUCAUUUUUAAAUGUAUUAAAUUUUUAGAUUUUUUUUUUACAUUAUGCAGAACAUAAAUGUCCUUAAAUUCAUUCCAUUUUAAUCCUACUUCCUUAAAUUCAAAUUGCACUCAGUUCUGCAUCCCGUUUGACACCUCAAUUCAAAUUCAAUAAAAAAAACUAUAUUCUGAAAGUCACAUGUGAUGUAUUUAUGAAUGGCGCACAAUCCUAUAUCAGUACUUUGAUUCUGCGAUGACAAAAGCUUGAAAUACAAGAGAUCCUUCUAGAGACACAGAGGAACGUAAGACAAACACCUGAAGGAUGAAAGCAGACUCUGACGGUGAUGUGGCUCUUUGGAAAGAGAAAUGAAAGAUUCUUAGCAGGGAGACUUUGCUCUGUUGUCUCUCGGGAGGAAUGAAUCUGUCACCGCUGUCACUGUUACUUGAUUUAAUGAGAUAAUGCUUCUUUUUUCCCCUCCAAACAACUCCAACAUAGAAGUGCUGUAAGGGAGUUUUUAUGGAUCGGCUCGCAGAAAAUGUCCCUACUGUCUGACAGAUAUCAGUGAAAGAGGCGUCCUGAGAAAUCACAGCUGUCUCUGUGACAGAACGACUCUCUGUAAAGCUCACAAAACAACCUGAUGGUGUGACAUUAACGUUUAGCCAGUCAGAGGAGUUUGAGGCACUUUCUGUCUGUCAAUCAUGUCGAGCGUUCAGCUUCCAGAGCGUUUCGUAGGUAAUGCAUCCUUUCUGAAAUCCUGCCAAUUGUUAACGGUAAUUUAAUUGAAUGUAAUUUAAAUGUAAUUUAUUCACAAUCCCAUGUCAACAUGACCAGGUCACAAUCCACCCCACAGAUUACAUAUAAUUAGACAGCACAUUUUGCACAAAAUGAAGCAUAUUUUAAGACUU